AUUUGUCACGGCCCUAACACAAUCAGGCAAAAACGAAGCUCUGGGGCACAGAACGUGCGGAACAAGGGCCGAAGAUAGGUCGAAAUAUUUGCCCAGGCAUUCGGUAUGGUAUCGACUUGGAGGUACUAUUAUGGUUUUGUGGUAAUCGUCUGCAUUGCCAGUCUUCUGCCGCUCCUAGACUGUGCCGUUCACCACUGUCCGCCCUGGCCAAGAUGUACCUACCUCAAGCUGUGCUGCCAGCGAACCCAUAACGAGGGGAGUACGCAGCUGGUUUGGUCUGAAGAGGAGGAAUACGAUCCCGAAACAGAGUUCAAAUAUACCCAAAGCUGGUAAAAGCUGAAAUAUAACGAGUGUGUGGAAGGGUGAUGGGGGGGGGGCUAGAACCCGGGACUUUGAGGCGUCAGAAGUCUUGGCUUUUCAGCACGGUUCGGGCCUGGAACAAACCGAUUCCCGAAAGCCGUUCCGCACUCUUCAAAACUUUGGUGUGGCCUCUAGGGUAAGCCUCUACGUGGAAUACAAUGAUUGCCGGCUGGAAGUGCUUGUUGCUCGCCCUAUUGGUGGGGUUGGCCCUGCUCCCCACCCCCUCGCGGGCAUCUAUGGACGAGUACAUACCGCAGCUGUGUCUGCCCUGGCCCAAAUGUCACAGGGUCAAGAAAUGCUGCCAGCGCUCGGACUCGGAGACCGUGGAAGAGAAUCUGUAAGAGUCUAACGAAUAAAAGACUGUUGCCUGACUUUUGCAUGGCCACGAAACGAGGUCCUUGAGAGACGAAGACGAUGACUCCUGUCUGUGUGUGCUGGCGGCCCUGUGUUAAUUGUGCCGCAUGCACGUUGCAUGUGGCAGCCUGUCAGAGUGGCAGCUAAUUUUUGCUAGCUGUCGACGUUGCUCUUCAUAUAAAUCUUUCAAAGUCAACAGCAUUGCACCCACGUGCCACAUCAAUUCGCAUUCUUGUCUGUCGCAGGCAGGCAGGCAGGCACUCUCCCAUCUCCCAUAGACGUAUCCAUCAUUCUGCAAUCGUCAGUGGUGUCGCCGCAUGCAACGUCGCUUAUCGCUCAGCUCUGUAAUGAUGGCAGCAGACCCCAAAAGAGGCCCCCCCAGCCCCCAGCCCCCAUGUAGCAGCCAUCCAUCUGCACGAACUUCUGUUGUACAUUUUUCAUAACGCAAUUCAUGUUAUUCAUGUGGCAGCGACAAGUCUUCGGGGGGCACAGUGGUGGGAGAUGGAUGGAAAAAGGGGGAAUCUGUAGACCCUAAAGGAAUGAGUAGAGGCUCUGCAUGGACUCCCCUACUCCCCCUUGUGGCUCCACUGUUCGUCGUCAUAAAAAUUGUCUCAUUAAUCAUCACACGACACGCCGAAGCCCGCGUAGGGGAAACAUGGAUUUAGUGUGAAAAUCCAGCCAGCAAUUAAAUUGGCUCCCCCUCGGCAGCAGCAUCGAUGCAGGCCCCCACUCCCAGCCCUCGACGAACAAGUGCAGGGAGCAUAAAUCAAAGGAGGGCCCCUCAGCAUUGGAAAAUGGGAUUCCAGGGCCGUGGCAUUUUAAAUUGUCUGCGCCAUAUUUAAAAUAGCAACUAAUUAAUUUAUUUUUUCACGCCCAGACUGGGAAGUGCGCAUUAAUAAACAAUUAAGUCGUUUUAA
rnacentral:sRNA from 1 species